rnacentral:rRNA from 1 species
UACGUAGGGGGCAAGCGUUGUCCGGAUUUAUUGGGCGUAAAGAGCGUGUAGGCGGCUUUACAGGUCCGUUGUGAAAACUCGAGGCUCAACCUCGAGACGCCGGUGGAAACCGUAAAGCUAGAGUCCGGAAGAGGAGAGUGGAAUUCCUGGUGUAGCGGUGAAAUGCGUAGAUAUCGGGAGGAACACCAGUGGCGAAGGCGGCCCCCUGGGCCGCUCCUGACGCUGAGACGCGAAGGCCAGGGUAGCGAACGGG